rnacentral:rRNA from 1 species
UACGAAGGGUGCAAGCGUUAUUCGGAUUUAUUGGGCGUAAAGCGCGCGUAGGCGGGCGGAUAAGUCAGAUGUGAAAUCUCGGGGCUCAACUCCGAAACUGCGUCUGAAACUGUCUGUCUAGAAUACCGGAGGGGGAGGGGGAAUUUCACAUGUAGGGGUAAAAUCCGUAGAGAUGUGAAGGAACACCAGAGGCGAAGGCGCCCUCCUGGACGGUUAUUGACGCUGAGGCGCGAAAGCGUGGGGAUCAAACAGG